AAGUCGUAACAAGGUUUCCGUAGGUGAACCUGCGGAAGGAUCAUUAUAGAGAAUAUCGCCCUCACCGGUGACUCUCCAACCCUGUGUUAUUUAUACCUCUGUUGCUUUGGCGGGCCGCUCCGGCCACCGGCUCCGCGCUGGUGAGCGCUCGCCAGAGGACCCAAAACUCUUGAAUAUCAGUAUCGUCUGAGUACUAUAUAAUAGUUAAAACUUUCAACAACGGAUCUCUUGGUUCUG
rnacentral:misc_RNA from 1 species